rnacentral:sRNA from 1 species
UGAACCAGGUGACGUAUAACCUGUCCACGGAUUGCCCCGGAGAUCAGAGUUCCAGGGAAUCUAACUGUAGCUCGAUCGGAUAUCUCUGCUCAGAGUUAUCGCCGUUUUUCUGAAGUCGAUGCUGUCUGUUUCUUCACAGAUCUGUAUGAAUAGACCAGUCUGCCUCGGGACCGAUUUCCCGUCAAACGUACUAUGAACCAGGUGACUUAUAACCUGUUCACGGAUUGCCCCGGAUAUCAGCUUUCUAGGGAGUCUAACGGUAGCUCAAUCGGAUAUCUUCUCUCAGAGUUAUCGCCUUUUUUCUGAAGUCGAUGUUGUCUGUUUCUUUACAGAUCCGUCGGAAUAGACCAGUCUGCCUCGGGACCGAUUUCCCAACCAGUCACAAUGAAUCUCGCAACUAGUAAUAUGUUCACGGAUUGCCCCAGAUAUUAGCUUUCCAUAGAAUCGAACCACGUCUCAAUCAGAGACCUCUUAUGAGAGUUAUCUCCGGUUUCUGUGUCAGAUGUAGUCUGUUAAACUACAAUCCGUCUGUAUAGUCCAGCUCGCCUCGGGGCCGAUUUCCCGACAUAUCACAGAAAAUCUCAUGAGGCGUAAUAUAUCAACGGAUCGCCCACAGAGUCAUAUUUUUGGAAAAGUCGACCUUGCCUUAAUCUAAGAUAUAGGCUGAGAGAUAUAAACGUUUAUCUCAAGCAAGUGCAGUCUGUCACAAGACCCAACUCUAUAAAACCAGUCAGCUUCAGGAUCGUUUUCCUGGAAACUCCUGAUGAAAUAAGCUACGAUAUACUUAUCUACAGAUUUCUCCAAGAUUCAGAUUUCCAAAGAAGCCUACCUCGUCUCGAUCCGACCUGUCUACUAGGAGUUAUCAUCGCUUCUCUUCCUCGGAUGCAAUCUUUUUGUCAAAAUCGCCGCUGUCAGAACAACCAACUUUAAAACGAAAUUCCUGGUGAUCUAGAAAGCAUAACGAGGUGUUUUACCUAUCAAUCUGAAGAUAAGAGGCUUGUCCUUCCAACACAAUCAACCUCACCAAUAUCGGAGCUGUGUACUAAGCGUUAGCACUGUUUCCACGCAACAUAUGACAUCUCUAAAAAUCGCAGACUCGAACUGCGAGAACAAUUGGGGUAGAAGAUAGAUUCCCAGCGAUUAAAAACACAUCAAGAGCCCAUCUACAUAUCGUUCUGAAGCUAAGAGACUUAUCUUGCCAUAAAGAUGUACUUUGCCUAAUUCUAUGCUGUUUUCCGGGAGUUAUAGGCGUUUCUCUCAAGCAUGUGUAUUUAUCAGACCACAUAUCCGCCAGCUUUCAGAUCGAUUUCCCGGCUUAUCAUUAUGAAGCUACAAGGCUUAUCUUUCUAAAGAACCCGACUUUGCCUCUUUUGUUGCAGUCUAGUAAGAAUUCUCACUGUUUUUCCGCGACGAGCGCAUCCUGGCCGAAACCAUAGAGCGGAGUUCCACUGUUAUCAGAUCAGCCGCUUUUGAGAUGGAUUUCUUGUCGAUCUGGAAAGAUAUGAGAAUCAACCUUCACAUCAUCCUGAAACCCCAAGGCUUAUAUUUCUAUAGAGACCAAUCUCGUCUCUAUUGUUGAACUCCUUUUAGGUUGGGAAACCUAUUACAUCAUCAUUGCUACCAUGCUUCGAUCGCGUCAUUGUUAUUCUCACUUUAGAUCACCAGCUCAGAGUUCAACACUAUCAACUCAAGAGUUCACCACACUAGACGGGUCGUCAAAUGCACUUAAGAUCAAGAAGUUAUUCAUCUUGCUUCCUGUCCAAGAACCAACUGAAACAGUCUUUAAUCCAUGCAAAGUCUGAAACAGGAUUCGGUGUGCAGCUACAGCUUUUGCGAGACAUUUUCCCGACGCAUCAGAAAGAGUUAAGAAAUCAGGAAACAAUGACUCUGUCGGAGCAACUUCAGAGGAUAAUGGAAGAUACAUACGACGUCCGAUCUAGCUAGAACUUUAUAGAGUGAUUGUUGACGCUUCUAGAUAAUGAUUUACCGGUGGGAUCAAGAAAUCAAGGAUGCAUAAUAAAGUUAUCAAUGCAUCUCCGAAUCAGCCAAAAGAAGAAAAAAUCACCUUGUCACAACAACUUCAUGAAAACGUGGAAGCUUUAUACAAUAUCCGAUCUGACUAAAAUUUGGAGAAAACCUUCACGGAAUUAGCAGCUAGAUACUCAAUGGUGGGAUCGAAAACUUAACGGUUGAAACGAUAGUUAUCAGUUCUUAUACGAAUCAUCAAAAGAGGUACAUUACACCAAUAAGUGGCAAUGGAACAUCACUACCAAUCGCUCAAGGAUUCCAAUCAUUUAUCAAUGAAGCGAUCUCCAAUUCCGUCUCCGCCUCAUAAAAGAUAAGUUCAACUACUUUCUUACAUAUUAAUUAAGCUUGAUUGACAUACUCGCUUAUAUCGAAAGCUUUUAUCUUUGUUUCUCUCUUUCUAACGCAAAGUAGAGGCCUCCUCUAACUCGCAACAUCUCAAAUGUAGAUUUCCAUACAACGACAUUUACAAUCUCGAAGAUUUAGAUCGUUCAUGUCAUAGAUGUCAUCAUCUCUAUCUCCACACAGCUAAGAUAAGUGUUAUCGAUUGUAAUCUAACAAGCACAACUCAAUCAUAUAUAUGCAUUCUCUGUUAUAUUUUUUGCAUAAACUUGCAAAAAGACUCGUCUAUCGAGUAAAAAGACUCGUCUACCGAGCAAAAAGUCUCCUCUACCGAGCAAAAAAAAAAAAAAAAGAAACUCUUCCAUCGAGUAAAAAAAGUGCUCCGGCCUCUUGAUCAUAACUUGAACUACGGGUUGGUUUGAUCCCUGAAAAGGGUACGUAAGCAGCUUGUAUCCAG